rnacentral:rRNA from 1 species
ACGAACGCUGGCGGCGUGCUUCACCCAUGCAAGUCGCACGGAAAGGCCCUGCUUUUGUGGGGUGCUCGAGUGGCGAACGGGUGAGUAACACGUGAGUAACCUGCCCUUGACUUUGGGAUAACUUCAGGAAACUGGGGCUAAUACCGGAUAGGAGCUCCUGCUGCAUGGUGGGGGUUGGAAAGUUUCGGCGGUUGGGGAUGGACUCGCGGCUUAUCAGCUUGUUGGUGGGGUAGUGGCUUACCAAGGCUUUGACGGGUAGCCGGCCUGAGAGGGUGACCGGCCACAUUGGGACUGAGAUACGGCCCAGACUCCUACGGGAGGCAGCAGUGGGGAAUAUUGCACAAUGGGCGGAAGCCUGAUGCAGCAACGCCGCGUGCGGGAUGAUGGCCUUCGGGUUGUAAACCGCUUUCGCCUGUGACGAAGCGUGAGUGACGGUAAUGGGUAAAGAAGCACCGGCUAACUACGUG